rnacentral:other from 1 species
UGCCUGGGCUGUACGCCAGCCAUAGUUGCCCUGAGCCGAUAUUACUAGACUGGGAGAUCUUCCUGAGUUCCGUUUGAGCACGCCUACACUGCACUGUUUAGCUUUGCAGUCCCUAGGAAGCCUUGAGAGCCACAGGUUUCCCACCUUGAACUCACUGGUUCAAGGAGCUGAACAUGGUAGCGGCAGUUCUGGGU